CUCUCACUCGAGCCUUUAGCGGAGCAUGGCUGUCCUGGUGCUGUUUCUCUGUCUGGUGACAUUUCCAAGCUGCGCCCUGUCCCAGAAUCAGCUGAAGGAAUCAGGACCAGGACUGGUGCAGCCCUCACAAACCCUGUCGCUCACCUGCACUGUCUCUGGGUUCUCUAUAACCAGUUAUGGUGUAAGCUGGGUUCGCCAGCCUCCAGGAAAGGGUCUAGAGUGGAUGGGAGUAAUAUGGUAUAAUGGAAACACUGAUUAUAAUUCAGCUCUCAAGCCUAGAGUCACCAUCACCAGGGACACAUCCAAGAGCCAAGUUUAUCUAAAACUGAACAGUCUGCAAACUGAGGACACAGCCAUGUAUUACUGUGCCAGGGACACAAUCAUAUAA